UGUAAUGGCCCAAUUCUAUCUGGCCCAGAAAAAAACAAAAACAAAUAAAUAAAAAAAGUCCAUUAACAAGAGUCCAUUUACAAAACCCUAAAUACCCAAUACAUCCAAAGCCCAAAUAGCCCAACUAUCCUAAACUAGCAAAAAUCCUAAUUUCACCCUAAGAGCUUCAACGCCGCUCCUUCACCACAUCAGCAGACACAUCGCCCAAGGUCUC
rnacentral:lncRNA from 1 species